rnacentral:lncRNA from 1 species
GGUACAGGUCCUGUUGCCUGUGGGGGUUGGGGAAGACUGUGAGGGCAGUCACGGGCUGAGAGCUCUGUCCCCAAACCCAGUUCCAGAUUCGUCCCAGAGUUUAUCACCAGGCUCCUCCAUCCACCUGCCCAGUCCUGCUGAGCGAGCUUCAGCUAAAGGCUCAGCCCACAGCAGAGCACUCCAGGCCCCGGGGCUCCGCCUUUGGCUACAUACUCCACAUGCUCCUGGCCAUCCCAGCACAGGCUGCACCCUCGCCCUCCUUCCUCAGCCACAUCCCAGAAACCUUCCAGGUCAUUUUCUCCAGGAAGCUUUCCACAGCUGCAGCAUCAGCCCUCCUCUAGCACUAAAUGUCUUUGUCACCCCAAAGCAGUAGCUCCCCAGGGCAGGGCCUGCCUUAUCGGUCUCACUGGAUUUCAUGGUUCUUGGGGAAGGCUUGGAAGCCAGCUGUGCCUCAGCCCUUUCUCCUGUCUCUGCAUCCAAAAGAAUAAAAUCUGUACCCUAGAUCUGCUCUU